GAUGAACGCUGGCGGCGCGCCUAACACAUGCAAGUCGAACGAUGAAAGCACCUUCGGUUGCGUAUAAAGUGGCGAACGGCUGAGUAACACGUGGGCAACCUGCCCCUUUCAUUGUGAUAGCCACCGGAAACGGUGGUUAAUACCGAAUACUUCGAGACUUCCGCAUGGAAGACACGAGAAAGCUCCGGCGGAGAGGGAUGGGCCCGCGGCCUGUUAGCUUGCUGGUGGGGUAACGGCCUACCAAGGCAAUGAUGGGUAGCUGGGUUGAGAGACCGACCAGCCAGAUUGGGACUGAGACACGGCCCAGACUCCUACGGGAGGCAGCAGUGGGGAAUCUUGCACAAUGGGCGAAAGCCUGAUGCAGCGACGCCGCGUGCGGGAUGAAGGCCUUCGGGUUGUAAACCGCUUUCAGCAGGGACGAGGCGAAAGUGACGGUACCUGCAGAAGAAGCCCCGGCUAACUACGUG
rnacentral:rRNA from 1 species